GACGAACGCUGGCGGCGUGCUUAACACAUGCAAGUCGAACGGAAAGGCCCUGCUUUUGUGGGGUGCUCGAGUGGCGAACGGGUGAGUAACACGUGAGUAACCUGCCCUUGACUUUGGGAUAACUUCAGGAAACUGGGGCUAAUACCGGAUAGGAGCUCCUGCUGCAUGGUGGGGGUUGGAAAGUUUCGGCGGUUGGGGAUGGACUCGCGGCUUAUCAGCUUGUUGGUGGGGUAGUGGCUUUCCAAGGCUUUGACGGGUAGCCGGCCUGAGAGGGUGACCGGCCACAUGAGGACUGAGAUACGGACCAGACUCCUACGGGAGGCAGCAGGGGGGAAUAUUGCACAAUGGGCGGAAGCCUGAUGCAGCAACGCCGCGUGCGGGAUGACGGCUUUCGGGUUGUAAACCGCUUUCGCCUGUGACGAAGCGUGAGUGACGGUAAUGGGUAAAGAAGCACCGGCUAACUACGUG
rnacentral:rRNA from 1 species